rnacentral:rRNA from 1 species
CUACGGGUUGCUGCAGUGAGGAAUAUUGCACAAUGGGGGGAACCCUGAUGCAGCAACGCCGCGUGGAGGAUGACGCAUUUCGGUGUGUAAACUCCUUUUAUAUGUCAAGAAAAUGACGGUAGCAUAUGAAUAAGCACCGGCUAACUCCGUGCCAGCAGCCGCGGUGAAUACGGAGGGUGCAAGCGUUACUCGGAAUCACUGGGCGUAAAGGACGCGUAGGCGGGUCGGAAAGUCAGGUGUGAAAUCCUACAGCUUAACUGUAGAACUGCACUUGAAACUUCUAAUCUAGAGUAUGGGAGGGGGAGAUGGAAUUAGUGGUGUAGGGGUAAAAUCCGUAGAUAUCACUAGGAAUACCUAAAGCGAAGGCGAUCUCCUGGAACAUUACUGACGCUAAGGCGUGAAAGCGUGGGGAGCAAACAGGAUUAGAUACCCUCGUAGUC